AUUGAACGCUGGCGGCAGGCCUAACACAUGCAAGUCGAACGAGUGGCGGACGGGUGAGUAAUGUCUGGGAAACUGCCUGAUGGAGGGGGAUAACUACUGGAAACGGUAGCUAAUACCGCAUACCAUCGGAUGUGCCCAGAUGGGAUUAGCUAGUAGGUGGGGUAAAGGCUCACCUAGGCGACGAUCCCUAGCUGGUCUGAGAGGAUGACCAGCCACACUGGGACUGAUACACGGUAGAGACUCCUUUGGGAGGCAGCAGUGGGGAAUGUUGCACAAUGGGCGCAAGCCUGAUACAGCCAUGCCGCGUGUAUGUAGAAGGCCUUCGGGUUGUAAAGUACUUUCAGCGGAGAGGCGUUACCCGCAGAGGAAGCACCGGCUAACUCCGUGCCAGCAGCCGCGGUAAUUC
rnacentral:rRNA from 1 species